rnacentral:rRNA from 1 species
UACGUAGGGGGCAAGCGUUGUCCGGAUUUAUUGGGCGUAAAGAGCGUGUAGGCGGCUAGGUAGGUCCGUUGUGAAAACUCGAGGCUCAACCUCGAGACGCCGGUGGAAACCACCUAGCUAGAGUCCGGAAGAGGAGAGUGGAAUUCCUGGUGUAGCGGUGAAAUGCGCAGAUAUCAGGAAGAACACCCGUGGCGAAGGCGGCUCUCUGGGACGUGACUGACGCUGAGACGCGAAAGCGUGGGGAGCGAACAGG